CCUACGGGUGGCAGCAGUGAGGAAUAUUGGUCAAUGGGCGCGAGCCUGAACCAGCCAAGUAGCGUGAAGGAUGACUGCCCUACGGGUUGUAAACUUCUUUUAUAAAGGAAUAAAGUUAGGCACGUGUACUUUUUUGUAUGUACUUUAUGAAUAAGGAUCGACUAACUCCGUGCCAGCAGCCGCGGUAAUACGGAGGAUCCGAGCGUUAUCCGGAUUUAUUGGGUUUAAAGGGCGCGUAGAUGGGUUGUUAAGUCAGUUGUGAAAGUUUGCGGCUCAACCGUAAAAUUGCAAUUGAUACUGGCAGCCUUGAGUACAGUUGAGGUAGGCGGAAUUCGUGAUGUAGCGGUGAAAUGCUUAGAUAUCACGAAGAACUCCGAUUGCGAAGGCAGCCUACUAAACUGCAACUGACAUUGAUGCUCGAAAGUGUGGGUAGCAAACAGGAUUAGAUACCCUUGUAGUC
rnacentral:rRNA from 1 species